rnacentral:rRNA from 1 species
AUUGAACGCUGGCGGCAGGCCUAACACAUGCAAGUCGAGCGAGCGGCGGACGGGUGAGUAAUGUAUGGGGACUGCCCGAUAGAGGGGGAUAACUACUGGAAACGGUUGCUAAUACCGCAUACUAUCGGAUAACCCAUAUGGGAUUAGCGAGUAUGUUGGGUAAAGGCUCACCUAGGCGACGAUCGCUAGCUGGUCUGAGCGGAUGAUCAGCAAACCUGGGACUGAGACACGGCCCAGAAUCCUACGGAGGCAGAAGUGGGUAAUAUUGCACAAUGGGAGCAAGCCUGAGGCAGCCAUGCCGCGUGUAUGAAGAAGGCCUUAGGGUUGGAAAGUACGUUCAGCGGGGAGGCGUUACCCGCAGAAGAAGCACCGGCUAACUCCGUGCCAGCAGCCGCGGUAAUAC